GUAUGCGAUCAUAACCAGCAUUAUGCACCGCCGAUCCCAUCAGAACUCCGAAGUUAAGCAUGCUUGGCGAGAGUAUACCUAGGAUGGGGUGACCCCUGGGAAGUCCUCGUGUUCAUCAC
rnacentral:rRNA from 1 species